GGCUCGCGCCCUGACACGUGACUCCACGGCCCGUGCGGCGCGUAUCACGCAUGCGCAAGGCGAAGAGGGCGCGGCGCUCCAACAGGACUUCCUAAAUUUCUCUUCAUCUCCACAGCACCAGCAAGGGGCCUCACAUGGGCAGGUACUCAACAAAGAGUGCUGGGGCGGCCAGGGGCUCCUCGAGGCCACUUACCUUCCUGGCUACCAGCUGGAUGGCAUCACCCUCAAAGGCCUUUAAAUGCUGGAGUCGGGACAGCAGGAUCUGUUGCAACUGGCUAACUCCUUGGCCCGGCUUAGGGGUCUAUAUGGACAGCCUGAGAAGAACCCUACCAGUCGGCUGGACACCCGGUUCAUCAUGAUGCGCUCUGGCAGGUCCAUGGUGUUGGCAAUGGUCAGGACCACAAGCCGGG